rnacentral:rRNA from 1 species
CCUGGUUGAUCCUGCCAGUGGUAUAUGCUUGUCUCAAGGACUAAGCCAUGCAAGUGUAAGUAUGAGUGAAUUGUACAACGAAACUGCGAAUGGCUCGGUAAAACAGCUAUAGUUUCUUCGAUGGUAAACUACUCGGAUAACCGUAGUAAUUCUAGAGCUAAUACGUGCCACAAGACGACGCAAGUCGUGGUAUAAAUUGGAGAUACAAACCAACGUUUGGUGAUUCACAAUUUCUUUUCUGAUUGCACUAUGUGCGACGCAUCGUUCAAAUUUCUGACCUAUCAACUUUGGAUGGUAAGGUAGUGUCUUACCAUGGUUGUGACGGGUAACGGACCGUGGGUGCGGGACUCCGGAGAGGGAGCCUGAGAAACGGCUACCACAUCCAAGGAAGGCAGCAGGCGCGCAACUUACCCAAUCCGGACACCGGGAGGUAGUGACAAGAAAUAGCAAUAGAGGGCCCGAUGGGUUUUCUAAUUGGAAUGAGAACAAGGUAAACAGCUUAUCGAGGAGCCAGCAGAGGGCAAGUCUGGUGCCAGCAGCCGCGGUAAUUCCAGCUCUGUAAGCGUAUACCAAAGUUGUUGCAGUUAAAACGCUCGUAGUCGAAAUUUGGCGGGCGACGUGAGUCGUCUUUACCGACGAUCUUAUGUUGGCCGCCUUUGUGGAGGGGGGCCUAGUGGUGCUUAACCGCUUCGCUAGGUCGCUGCCACCGUUUACUGUGAAAAAAUUAGAGUGUUCAAAGCAGGCGUUUGCCGUGAAUACAUUAGCAUGGAAUAAUAGAAUAGGACCUGGUUUCUAUUUUGUUGGUUUGUUAGGAUCGGGUAAUGAUUAAGAGGGAUGGUUGGGGGCAUUUGUAUUCCAGCGUCAGAGGUGAAAUUCUUGGAUUGUUGGAAGACAAACAGCUGCGAAAGCGUCUGCCAAGGACAUUUUCAUUGAUCAAGAACGAAAGUAAGGGGAUCGAAGACGAUCAGAUACCGUCGUAGUCUUUACUAUAAACGAUGAGGACUGGAGAUCGGGCGGGGCUGUUUUUUGGCCCGCCCGGCAUCCUUCGGGAAACCAAAGUGUUUGCUUUCUGGGGGGAGUAUGGUCGCAAGGCUGAAACUUAAAGGAAUUGACGGGAGGGCAUCACCGGGUGUGGAGCCUGCGGCUUAAUUUGACUCAACACGGGAAAACUUACCAGGUCCGGACAUAGUGAGGAUUGACAGAUUGAGAGCUCUUUCUUGAUUCUAUGGUUGGUGGUGCAUGGCCGUUCUUAGUUGGUGGAGUGAUUUGUCUGGUUAAUUCCGUUAACGAACGAGACCCCUGCCUGCUAAAUAGCUGGGUGAAUGAAUUUUCAUUGACUACAGCUUCUUAGAGGGACGUGCGUUCUAUUAGACGCAGGAAGAUAGGGGCAAUAACAGGUCUGUGAUGCCCUUAGAUGUCCUGGGCCGCACGCGCGCUACACUGAUGCACUCAACGAGUGUACCUUGACCGAGAGGCCUGGGAAAUCUUGUUAACUUGCAUCGUGAUAGGGAUAGAUUAUUGCAAUUAUUAAUCUUGAACGAGGAAUUCCUAGU